GACGAACGCUGGCGGCGUGCCUAAUACAUGCAAGUCGAACGAGAGCGACCGGUGCUUGCACUGGUCAAUCUAGUGGCGAACGGGUGAGUAACACGUGGGUAACCUGCCCAUCAGAGGGGGAUAACAUUCGGAAACGGAUGCUAAAACCGCAUAGGUCUUCGAACCGCAUGGUUUGAAGAGGAAAAGAGGCGCAAGCUUCUGCUGAUGGAUGGACCCGCGGUGCAUUAGCUAGUUGGUGAGGUAACGGCUCACCAAGGCCGUGAUGCAUAGCCGACCUGAGAGGGUGAUCGGCCACAUUGGGACUGAGACACGGCCCAAACUCCUACGGGAGGCAGCAGUAGAGAAUCUUCCGCAAUGGACGCAAGUCUGACGGAGCAACGCCGCGUGAGUGAAGAAGGUUUUCGGAUCGUAAAACUCUGUUGUUAGAGAAGAACAAGUGCUAGAGUAACUGUUAGCGACUUGACGGUAUCUAACCAGAAAGCCACGGCUAACUACGUG
rnacentral:rRNA from 1 species